GACGAACGCUGGCGGCGUGCUUAACACAUGCAAGUCGAACGGAAAGGCCCUUCGGGGUACUCGAGUGGCGAACGGGUGAGUAACACGUGGGUGAUCUGCCCUGCACUUUGGGAUAAGCCUGGGAAACUGGGUCUAAUACCGAAUAGGACCCAGCACUUCAUGGUGCGUGGUGGAAAGCUUUUGGGGUGUUGGAUGGGCCCGCGGCCUAUCAGCUUGUUGGUGGGGUAAUGGCCUGCCAAGGCGACGACGGGUAGCCGGCCUGAGAGGGUGACCGGCCACACUGGGACUGAGAUACGGCCCAGACUCCUACGGGAGGCAGCAGUGGGGAAUAGUGCGCAAUGGGCGCAAGCCUGAUGCAGCGACGCCGCGUGAGGGAUGACGGCCUUCGGGUUGUAAACCUCUUUCAAUAGGGACGAAGCGCAAGUGACGGUACCUAUAGAAGAAGCACCGGCCAACUACGUGCCAGCAGCCGCCGUAA
rnacentral:rRNA from 1 species